rnacentral:rRNA from 1 species
GCUGGCGGCAGGCCUAAUACAUGCAAGUCGAGCGCGCCCUUCGGGGUGAGCGGCGGACGGGUGAGUAACGCGUGGGAAUAUGCCCUUCUCUAAGGAAUAGCCUCUGGAAACGGAGAGUAAUACCUUAUACGCCCUUUGGGGGAAAGAUUUAUCGGAGAAGGAUUAGCCCGCGUUAGAUUAGGUAGUUGGUGGGGUAAUGGCCUACCAAGCCUACGAUCUAUAGCUGGUUUGAGAGGAUGAUCAGCCACACUGGGACUGAGACACGGCCCAGACUCCUACGGGAGGCAGCAGUAGGGAAUCUUAGACAAUGGGGGCAACCCUGAUCUAGCCAUGCCGCGUGUGUGAUGAAGGCCCUAGGGUCGUAAAGCACUUUCGCCAGAGAUGAUAAUGACAGUAUCUGGUAAAGAAACCCCGGCUAACUCCGUGCCAGCAGCCGCGGUAAUACGGAGGGGGUUAGCGUUGUUCGGAAUUACUGGGCGUAAAGCGCACGUAGGCGGAUUAGUAAGUUAGAGGUGAAAUCCCAGGGCUCAACCCUGGAACUGCCUUUAAUACUGCUAGUCUUGAGUUCGAGAGAGGUAAGUGGAAUUCCGAGUGUAGAGGUGAAAUUCGUAGAUAUUCGGAGGAACACCAGUGGCGAAGGCGGCUUACUGGCUCGAUACUGACGCUGAGGUGCGAAAGUGUGGGGAGCAAACAGGAUUAGAUACCCUGGUAGUCCACACCGUAAACGAUGAAUGCCAGACGUCAGCAAGUAUACUUGUUGGUGUCACACCUAACGGAUUAAGCAUC